CCUCGGCGUCAGAACGAAACGGACUGCGGGCAGGCUUAACACAUAGCAAGUCGAGCGCGUAGCAAUACGAGCGGCAGACGGGUGGAGUAACGACGUGGGAAGUCUACCUAAUCUCUCGGAAUAACCCAGGGAAACUUGGACUAAUACCGUAUACGUCCUUCGGGAGAAAGAUUUAUCGGAGAUGGAUGAGCCCGCGUUGGAUUAGCUAGUUGUGGGGUAAUGGCUACCAAGGCGACGAUCCAUAGCUGGUCUGAGAGGAUGAUCAGCCACACUGGGACUGAGACACGGCCCAGACUCCUACGGGAGGCAGCAGUGGGGAAUAUUGGACAAUGGGGGGCAACCCUGAUCCAGCCAUGCCGCGUGAGUGAUGAAGGCCCUAGGGUUGUAAAGCUCUUUCACCGGUGAAGAUAAUGACGGUAACCGGAGAAGAAGCCCCGGCUAACUUCGUG
rnacentral:rRNA from 1 species